UAGAUACCUGGUAGUCCACGCAGUAAACGAUGAAUACUAGAUUUUUGCGAUAUAGUGUAAGAGUCUAAGCGAAAGCGAUAAGUAUUCCACCUGGGGAGUACGCCGGCAACGGUGAAACUCAAAGGAAUUGACGGGGGCCCGCACAAGCGGAGGAACAUGUGGUUUAAUUCGAUGAUACGCGAGGAACCUUACCCGGGAUUGAAAUUUAGAUGGCGGCAGAUGAGAGUUUGCUUUCCUUCGGGACAUCUAA
rnacentral:rRNA from 1 species